rnacentral:rRNA from 1 species
GAUGAACGCUGGCGGCGUGCCUAAUACAUGCAAGUAGAACGCUGAAGGAAGGAGCUUGCUCUUUCCGGAUGAGUUGCGAACGGGUGAGUAACGCGUAGGUAACCUGCCUGGUAGCGGGGGAUAACUAUUGGAAACGAUAGCUAAUACCGCAUAACAGUAGAUGUUGCAUGAUAUCUACUUAAAAGGUGCAAUUGCACCACUACCAGAUGGACCUGCGUUGUAUUAGCUAGUUGGUGAGGUAACGGCUCACCAAGGCGACGAUACAUAGCCGACCUGAGAGGGGGAUCGGCCACACUGGGAAUGAGACACGGCCCAGACUACUACGGGAGGCAGCAGUAGGGAAUCGUCGGGAAUGGACGGAAGGCUGACCGAGCAACGCCGCGUGAGUGAAGAAGGUUUUCGGAUCGUAAAGCUCUGUUGUAAGAGAAGAACGAGUGUGAGAGUGGAAAGUUCACACUGUGACGGUAUCUUACCAGAAAGGGACGGCUAACUACGUG